rnacentral:rRNA from 1 species
GGAAUAUUGCGCAAUGGGCGAAAGCCUGACGCAGCAACGCCGCGUGCCUGAAGAAGGCCUUCGAGGCGUAAAAGGCUUUUCUUGUCGAAGAGGAAGGACAGUAGGCCAGGAAUAAGUGUCGGCUAACUACGUGCCAGCAGCCGCGGUAAAACGUAGGACGCAAGCGUUAUCCGGAUUUACUGGGCGUAAAGCGCAGGCAGGCGGAUAUGCAAGUUGGCUGUGAAAGCGCCCGGCUCAACUGGGCGAGGCCAGUCAAAACUGCAUAACUAGAGGACAGUAGAGGAACGUAGAAUUCCGGGUGGAGUGGUGAAAUGCGUAGAUAUCCGGAGGAAUACCAGAGGCGAAGGCGACGUUCUGGGCUGUUCCUGACGCUGAGCUGCGAAAGCAUGGGUAGCGAAC